GAUGAACGCUAGCGGCAGGCUUAACACAUGCAAGUCGAGGGGCAGCGCGGGAUAGCAAUAUCCUGGCGGCGACCGGCGGAAGGGUGCGUAACGCGUGAGCGACAUGCCCGUUGCCCGGGGACAACCGGUGGAAACGCCGACUAAUCCCCGAUGGGAUAUUGUGCCGCAUGGCACGAUAUUGAAAGUUACGGCGGCGACGGAUUGGCUCGCGUCCGAUUAGCUUGUUGGCGGGGUAACGGCCCACCAAGGCUGCGAUCGGUAGGGGUUCUGAGAGGAAGGCCCCCCACAAGGGGACAGGGACACGGCCCAUACUCCUACGGGAGGCAGCAGUGAGGAAUAUUGGUCAAUGGGCGGAAGCCUGAACCAGCCAUGCCGCGUGCGGGAAGGAGGCCCUAUGGGCUGUGAACCGCUUUUGCCUGGGGGCAAUAAGGGCGUCGCGCACGUCCGAUGAGAGUACCAGGCGAAUAAGCAUCGGCUAACUCCGUG
rnacentral:rRNA from 1 species